UACGUAGGGUGCGAGCGUUAAUCGGAAUUACUGGGCGUAAAGCGUGCGCAGGCGGCUGUGCAAGACAGAUGUGAAAUCCCCGGGCUUAACCUGGGAAUGGCAUUUGCGACUGCACGGCUAGAGUGUGUCAGAGGGGGGUGGAAUUCCACGUGUAGCAGUGAAAUGCGUAGAGAUGUGGAGGAAUACCGAUGGCGAAGGCAGCCCCCUGGGAUGACACUGACGCUCAUGCACGAAAGCGUGGGGAGCAAACAGG
rnacentral:misc_RNA from 1 species